CACACCAGAAGCUUCGUUCAGAAAUGGUUGUGCAGGCGAUUCACCACCAAUCACUUGUAACCAACGAAGUAGCCAGGUUCCACAACGACAGCUACAUACCGAACCAGCACAUAGUGGAGCAAGAACUUUACCGGCAGCCAGUACAACUACUCGUUCACAAACGCAGGCAAUGCCAGACUGCGGCGAGUGUCUCAAUUGCUCAUUCAAUUCUGCCCUAAAUUUGCAUUGAAAUUUGUAUUGAAUUUGCGCUUACAGAGUUCCAAAGACAGGUCCUCAAGAGCCUCAACAUACUCCGUAUGGCCAUGCAGCAACAUGGUGAACUCCUAUCAAGCCUAGUUCCCCAGCAAUCUAGUCUCGUUGAGGCUCCGUUGCUCCUGUCAGAGCCACUUGACUCUGUAGAGGAUGUUGACAACUUCGAACGGCAACUCACACCUGACCGUCAAAAACAGUUGUUGACGGAGCUAAUGCCCACAGAACCAUUAACCGCCCAUCAGCAUCCAGCGAACGUCGGGUUGUGGAUGCUGGGUACGUCUCACGAACGUACACAUUUGCUCCCGGCUACGUUUUAACUACGCCCGUACUACCGUGCUAAUCAAGAGAAAAUUAUGCGAAAUGGACGUCGUAGGACCGCCGAUGCGGAUCUUCGAGGGACCUGUGGAGGAUCUCUAUUCCGGCCCCAUAGGUAUCGCGCGCCUAUGGAAAUAUCGUAAUUUUAAUCAUGAGAUAAGCACAACGACGCAAGUGUGCACCCAAAAUAGUUUAUUUCUAUGUAGACUUUAUUUGCACGUGCAUUCGUACAUGUCUGCCGGCGCACAACGACUCAAGUGUACACCCAAAAUACUUUAUUUCUAUCUAGACUUUAUUUACAUGUGCAUUCUUACAUGCCUGCCCUCACAUGAGCAGUACAAAUAAUGAAAGAACGUGACAAGGUGCUAUAUCCAGAUCAUUCCCGUCCAUACAGAUCGUGAUCACAAUAUCGCCAAGUUAUGUAAACAAGAAAAAAAAAACGUCUAUGUUACUUGCUGUAUAAUUAGUUGGCAUCUUGUAUGGAAUCGACCCAACUGUAUCCUCACGCUCCUACCCGCCUUAUGAAUGGCUACCAGUGUCUUUAUAUUGUUCCUUUCUGUGUCUUCCGGCCUCUGGAAUUCACUGGUCAAGUUCUGCUGCCGAGGCAUACUGAUAAAAACGACAGACAUAAUACAGGCAUCAUCGGUCUCUGCCUAUGGCACAUACGGAUACCAGUGUUUGGUCAUACUUACCGUUUACCUAGUAUUCUUACCUGUGACGCAUAAGACAGUAAGUAAUUUCAAGACUGCUCAUAGAGAAAACAUCCCACACUCUCUGGGAGACGCUGAAACGCAUACAGCAAUGAAUGGCCGAUGCUGAGCGGUAUAGCCGUUUAUGCCUGAAAGAACAUCAAGAACACAGUGAGUGGACCACAAAAUAAAAGUAGCACACACGUGCUAAUAUGCCUAUAUUACAAGCUCAGCAAGGAUCGAUGGCAUUUUUUUUCACUAGUUGAAGAACAAAGGAGUCUAAAACGCGAGCGCUUACAAACAAAGGCACCACGGCCGUUUACCUGUAUUUCGGUCAUAGGUAGUGGCCCCCGAUGGAGAAUCCGUUGCCUACAA